rnacentral:misc_RNA from 1 species
AUCAGCAGCAUCAUUAAAAAGACGAGUAGGAAGAAGGCCAAAGUUAUGCAAGCUCAAAAUGCAUUCCAGGAUGUUUUUCCAACCAGAACGAAUAUGGUCCCCAUACUUGUUUGCUAUUGUAAAGACAGCUAAAGUGGCCAAUCUAGCUUUAUUAUCUUGGGCAAAUGUAACAAUAAAUUCAUCAGUAUAUGAUGGAAGCAAAAGAGUUGUGAACUUGCAAAGAGAUACUACUAAAUCAUCCAAUACAUCAUCAAAGUUGUAGGAGGCUGAAAUUUUG